rnacentral:rRNA from 1 species
UACGUAGGUGACAAGCGUUGUCCGGAUUUACUGGGCGUAAAGAGCGCGCAGGCGGUCGUUCAAGUCGCGUGUGAAAGCCCCCGGCUCAACUGGGGAGGGUCACGCGAUACUGAUCGACUCGAAGGCAGGAGAGGGAAGUGGAAUUCCCGGUGUAGUGGUGAAAUGCGUAGAUAUCGGGAGGAACACCAGUGGCGAAGGCGACACUCUGGGCCGGUACUGACGCUGAGGAGCGAAAGCAUGGGGAGCGAACAGG